rnacentral:rRNA from 1 species
GACGAACGCUGGCGGCGUGCCUAAUACAUGCAAGUAGAACGCAGUUGCGAACGGGUGAGUAACGCGUAGGUAGCUGCCUGGUAGCGGGGAUAACUAAUUGAACCGAAAGCUAAUCCCGCAUACCACCAGAUGGACCUGCGUUGUAUUAGCUAGUUGGUGGGGUAACGGCUCACCCAGGCAACGCUACAUAGCCGAACUGGGAGGGGGAACGGCCACCAUUGGAAUGGGGCACGGGCCAGACUCCCACGGGAGGCAGCCGUAGGGAAACUUCGGCAAUGGACGGAAGGCUGACCGAGCAACGCCGCGGGGUUGAAGAAGGUUUUCGGAUCGUAAAGCUCUUUUGUAAGAGAAGCGGUAUCUGACCAGAAAGGGACGGCUAACUACGUGCCAGCAGCCGCGGUAAUUC